rnacentral:rRNA from 1 species
GACGAACGCUGGCGGCGUGCUUAACACAUGCAAGUCGAACGGAAAGGCCCUGCUUUUGUGGGGUGCUCGAGUGGCGAACGGGUGAGUAACACGUGAGUAACCUGCCCUUGACUUUGGGAUAACUUCAGGAAACUGGGGCUAAUACCGGAUAGGAGCUCCUGCUGCAUGUUGGGGGUUGGAAAGUUUCGGCGGUUGGGGAUGGACUCGCGGCUUAUCAGCUUGUUGGUGGGGUAGUGGCUUACCAAGGCUUUGACGGGUAGCCGGCCUGAGAGGGUUACCGGCCACAUUGGGACUGAGAUACGGCCCAGACUCCUAAGGGAGGCAGCAGUGGGGAAUAUUGCACAAUGGGCGGAAGCCUGAUGCAGCAACGCCGCGUGCGGGAUGACGGCCUUAGGGUUGUAAACCGCUUGCGCCUGUGACGAAGCGUGAGUGAAGGUGAUGGGUAAAGAAGCACCGGCUAACUAAGUG